rnacentral:lncRNA from 1 species
CCCCAUAGAAUCUUCGAUGGCGAGGGAGAGUUUGGAGGAGGCUAGGUUGCUAAGGCGGUGAGGGAGAGUUUGGAGGAGGCUGUGAGCUGCUAACUUUUGGCUGACGGGCCCACAGAUGUUUCCAAAAUUCAAAUUGCUGAUGUACAGAUUUGGUUGUCACUCGUGUGCUGCUCAAUGUGGGCUCAUUUCAGUUGUUGGGCCCAUAUGUGGGCUAACAUGUAUUGAGCUCACUUGUUUUUGAUGUAAUUUUAUGGUAUUUUUAUUUAUCUAGUUUUGGGGUGUGCAGUAUUAUGUAAUUAGGCUAGACAAUUAUAAUUGUGCAAAUAUUUUUUAAAAAAAUAUUCCAAACGUUAAUAAAUAAUUUUUUUUAUUGAUGUAUUUUGACCCUUUAUAAAAAUGGUCUGGUUCCUCCGGUGAAUCAUUAACCUUUGUUGUCUUAUUCCUGCAAUCAAAUUGCCAUCGUCG